CCUACGGGAGGCAGCAGUGAGGAAUAUUGGUCAAUGGACGAGAGUCUGAACCAGCCAAGUAGCGUGAAGGAUGACUGCCCUAUGGGUUGUAAACUUCUUUUAUAUGGGAAUAAAAUGUUCCACGUGUGGGAUUUUGUAUGUACCAUAUGAAUAAGGAUCGGCUAACUCCGUGCCAGCAGCCGCGGUAAUCCGGAGGAUCCGAGCGUUAUCCGGAUUUAUUGGGUUUAAAGGGAGCGUAGGUGGAUUGUUAAGUCAGUUGUGAAAGUUUGCGGCUCAACCGUAAAAUUGCAGUUGAAACUGGCAGUCGUGAGUACAGUAGAGGUGGGCGGAAGUCGUGGUGUAGCGGUGAAAUGCUUAGAUAUCACGAAGAACUCCGAUUGCGAAGGCAGCUCACUGGACUGCAACUGACACUGAGGCUCGAAAGUGUGGGUAUCAAACAGGAUUAGAUACCCUAGUAGUC
rnacentral:rRNA from 1 species